GACGAACGCUGGCGGCGUGCUUAACACAUGCAAGUCGAACGGAAAGGCCCUGCUUUUGUGGGGUGCUCGAGUGGCGAACGGGUGCGUAACACGUGAGUAACCUGCCCUUGACUUUGGGAUAACUUCAGGAAACUGGGGCUAAUACCGGAUAGGAUCUCCUGCUGCAUGGUGGGGGUUGGAAAGUUUCGGCGGUUGGGGAUGGACUCGCGGCUUAUCAGCUUGUUGGUGGGGUAGUGGCUUACCAAGGCUUUGACGGGUAGCCGGCCUGAGAGGGUGACCGGCCACAUUGGGACUGAGAUACGGCCCAGACUCCUACGGGAGGCAGCAGUGGGGAAUAUUGCACAAUGGGCGGAAGCCUGAUGCAGCAACGCCGCGUGCGGGAUGACGGCCUUCGGGUUGUAAACCGCUUUCGCCUGUGACGAAGCGUGAGUGACGGUAAUGGGUAAAGAAGCACCGGCUAACUACGUG
rnacentral:rRNA from 1 species